UACGUAGGGUCCGAGCGUUGUCCGGAAUUAUUGGGCGUAAAGGGCUCGUAGGCGGAGCGUCACGUCGGGAGUGAAAACUCAGGGCUCAACCCUGAGCGUGCUUCCGAUACGGGCGGACUAGAGGUAUGCAGGGGAGAACGGAAUUCCUGGUGUAGCGGUGGAAUGCGCAGAUAUCAGGAGGAACACCGGUGGCGAAGGCGGUUCUCUGGGCAUUACCUGACGCUGAGGAGCGAAAGCAUGGGGAGCGAACAGG
rnacentral:rRNA from 1 species